GACCAGUAGAACUUAUGGGAUGCCAUGGCCUUGCGUCGGCGGUGGUUCGUUCAGUUUCUGCCCUAUCCGUUUCCGUGGCAAGGUAUUGGCUUACGAUGGUUUCAACGGGUAACGGGGAAUUAGGGUUCGAUUCCGGAGAGGGAGCCUGAGAAACGGCUACCACAUCCAAGGAAGGCAGCAGGCGCGCAAAUUACCCAAUCCCGACACGGGGAGGUAGUGACAAUAAAUACUGAUACAGGGCUCUUUUGGGUCUUGUAAUUGGAAUGAGUACAAUUUAAACCUCUUAACGAGGAACAAUUGGAGGGCAAGUCUGGUGCCAGCAGCCGCGGUAAUUCCAGCUCCAAUAGCGUAUAUUAAAGUUGUUGCAGUUAAAAAGCUCGUAGUUGAAACUUGGGCCUGGCUGGCAGGUCCGCCUCACCGCGUGUACUUGUCCGGCCGGGCCUUUCCUUCUGGAGAACCUCAUGCCCUUCACUGGGUGUGUUGGGGAACCAGGACUUUUAC
rnacentral:rRNA from 1 species